rnacentral:rRNA from 1 species
GGCGAACGGGUGAGUAACACGUGAGUAACCUGCCCACAACUUUGGGAUAACGCUAGGAAACUGGUGCUAAUACUGGAUAUGUGCUCCUGCUGCAUGGUGGGGGUUGGAAAGCUCCGGCGGUUGUGGAUGGACUCGCGGCCUAUCAGCUUGUUGGUGGGGUAGUGGCCUACCAAGGCGGCGACGGGUAGCCGGCCUGAGAGGGUGACCGGCCACAUUGGGACUGAGAUACGGCCCAG